UACGUAGGGGGCGAGCGUUGUCCGGAUUUAUUGGGCGUAAAGCGCGUGUAGGCGGCCCGGUAAGUCCGCUGUGAAAGUCGGGGGCUCAACCCUCGAAUGCCGGUGGAUACUGUCGGGCUAGAGUGCGGAAGAGGCGAGUGGAAUUCCUGGUGUAGCGGUGAAAUGCGCAGAUAUCAGGAGGAACACCAAUUGCGAAGGCAGCUCGCUGGGACGUGACUGACGCUGAGGUGCGAAAGCGUGGGGAGCAAACAGG
rnacentral:rRNA from 1 species